rnacentral:rRNA from 1 species
ACCGGCGCACGUGUGCUGCGUGGGUGUCCUCCUCUCGUGUCGUGAUAUGUUGGGUUAUCUCCCGCCACGAGCGCCCCCCUUGUCCUUUUUUGCUACCCUAGAGCACUCUACUGAGACUGCCCGUGACAAACCGGACGAAGGUGGGGAUGACGUCACGUCCUCAUGGCCCUUAUGGGUAGGGCUUCACACCUCAUACAAUGGUCUGAACAGAAGGUUGCCAACCCGCCAGGGGAAGCUAAUCCCAUAAAACAAAUCCUAUCCCAGAUUGCACUCUACACCUCGAGUGCAUGACGCUAGAAUCGAUACUAAUCUCAUAUCAGAUUGCCGCGGUGAAUACGUUCCCGGGUCUUGUACUCGCCGAC